UACGUAGGAGACGAGCGUUGUCCGGAAUUACUGGGCGUAAAGCGCGUGUAGGCGGAUGAGCAAGUCUGCUGUGAAAGCUCCUGGCUUAACCGGGAGUGGGCGGUGGAAACUGCUCGUCUGGAGGACGGUAGAGGUAGGUAGAAUUCCCGGUGUAGUGGUGAAAUGCGUAGAGAUCGGGAGGAAUACCUGUGGCGAAGGCGGCCUACUGGGCCGGACCUGACGCUGAGACGCGAAGGCGUGGGGAGCGAACGGG
rnacentral:rRNA from 1 species